AGAGUUUGAUCCUGGCUCAGAUUGAACGCUGGCGGCAUGCCUUACACAUGCAAGUCGAACGGUAGAGUAGCAAUACUCGAGAGUGGCGAACGGGUGAGUAAUAUAUCGGAACGUGCCCAAUCGUGGGGGAUAACGUAGAGAAAUUUACGCUAAUACCGCAUACGAUCUAAGGAUGAAAGCGGGGGAUCGCAAGACCUCGCGCGAUUGGAGCGGCUGAUAUCAGAUUAGGUUGUUGGUGAGGUAAAAGCUCACCAAGCCGACGAUCUGUAGCUGGUUUGAGAGAACGACCAGCCACACUGGGACUGAGACACGGCCCAGACUCCUACGGGAGGCAGCAGUGGGGAAUUUUGGACAAUGGGCGAAAGCCUGAUCCAGCAAUGCCGCGUGCAGGAAGAAGGCCUUCGGGUUGUAAACUGCUUUUGUACGGAACGAAACGGCUCUUUCUAAUAAAGAGGGCUAAUGACGGUACCGUAAGAAUAAGCACCGGCUAACUACGUGCCAGCAGCCGCGGUAAUAC
rnacentral:rRNA from 1 species